UCAUACCAUAAGAGUAUU
rnacentral:snRNA from 1 species